CAUGGAUUCAGAAUAAAAUACAGAUUCAUACAGACAACCUCCCAGGGAAGGAAGACCGAAGCGUUAUUUGUUUAGUCAUGGGUGAUGAAGAUAAGCUUGCAGAGCUGACUUGUCAAAGGAAAGAAAUUAACUAAUUGACAAGGAAAGCAGCAAGGAGCCUUGUGCCAUAGAAAAGCACUAGACAUAUCAAGAGAUCCAACGCACCCUGGUCACUGUUUCUUCGAGCUCCUGCCAUCGGGACGGAGAUAUAGAACAAUGGAGGCAAGAA